GACGAACGCUGGCGGCGUGCCUAAUACAUGCAAGUCGAGCGCAAGAAGCUGACGGAACUCUUCGGAGGGAAAGCAGUGGAAUGAGCGGCGGACGGGUGAGUAACACGUAAGGAACUUGCCUCAAGGAUUGGGAUAACUCCGAGAAAUCGGAGCUAAUACCGGAUAGUUCAACGGACCGCAUGGUCCGCUGAUGAAAGGCGCUCCGGCGUCACCUUGAGAUGGCCUUGCGGUGCAUUAGCUAGUUGGUGGGGUAACGGCUCACCAAGGCGACGAUGCAUAGCCGACCGGAGAGGGGGAUCGGCCACACUGGGACUGAGACACGGCCCAGACUCCUACGGGAGGCAGCAGUAGGGAAUCUUCCACAAUGGACGAAAGUCUGAUGGAGCAACGCCGCGUGAGUGAUGAAGGUUUUCGGAUCGUAAAACUCUGUUGUAAGGGAAGAACACGUACGAGAGGAAAUGCUCGUACCUUGACGGUACCUUACGAGAAAGCCACGGCUAACUACGUGCCAGCCGCCGCAGUAACAC
rnacentral:rRNA from 1 species